GCUGAUGUAGUUUAAUGGUAGAACAAGUGCUUCGUAAGCAUUAGGUUUGGGUUCAAAUCCCAACUUCAGCCCCA
rnacentral:tRNA from 1 species